rnacentral:pre_miRNA from 1 species
UUCAAUUUUUGACUCUUCGUCUUAUUCAAAAAAAUUUUGCGAUUGAUAUUUUUGUUUUUAUUAGAUGAUAAAUUAUGAAUAGUACUUUACGUGUUACUAAUUUUUUUUAAUUUUCUAAAAAUUUUUUAAAUAAAACGGAUGAUCAAACAUUGGACACGGAAAAC